CCUCCGUCUUCCUCCCACCACCUUCUCCCCUCUCCCGGUACCCAUUAGGCCUCCGAGGGAGGGUCAGCGCUGCCGGCUCAGGUUACCAGAAGCUGAAGACAGGAAGAUUUAGCGAGGGAGCCGGGACCAGCACAGUGUGCUGUUUGUCCGCCUUUGAAACCGGAGGCCGAGCGGCGGGGGCGGGGAGCGGGCGGGAGGCCGCGGACACUCGGGUGAAUUAUCGCUCCGUUCGGGUUCUGACUUCCAAGGCUCUGGCCGCCCUCCCCCGGCCCCAGCUCCUGUUUCUCCAGCACUUCCCAGCCACCUCCUCCAGGAAGUUUGCCAGGUCUUCCCCUCCCUGGAAAAGAGACCAGUAGACAAUGCUGUGAGAUGCCUUUAGCUUACCAGAGGUCCUGUCUCUCCGUCUUCCCUAAGACAUCAUAAGGGAUGCUCCAUCUUCUCAAGGACUCCCUCCCCCACACCAUGGACUUCUCAAGGACCGCCACCAUAAUGUAUCCCUUCUCACCCCCAAAAGCUGCCCUCCCACCUGAGGGUCCUUCUCCUUUCUCCCAUGGACAUCGGCCACCUGGAUGGUGUUGCAAUUCGGAGAUCAAAGAGAAACUUACAUACUAACUCCGAAUUCAAUUUAAUUACAAGUAGGACCUACAUUUGUACAGUAAUGUAGGUGGAAUCCUGGGGUUGGAUUGAUUUCUGAGCAAACAAGCCAAGGAGGAUUCAAGACUUUCUCUGACACCACCCUUGGGCUGGGGACCUCUAGCCCCUGCUGACACAUUUUAAGUGACGGGAGGCUCAGUUCCUCACAAGGCUGCCCAUUCUGCGGCAGAAUAAUCCUGCACCACCAGAAACACUUUCCUUCUUGGGAACCACAACUGAGACUCCUGCUUUUGGGGUUUGUGUGUGUGUGUUUGGAUGUGCAUGUAGGUGCAUGCAUGCUAAGUCGUUUCAGUUGCGUCCUAGUUUUUGUGACCCAAUGGGCUGUAAGUUCCUCUGUCCAUGGGGUUCUCCAGGCAAGAGUACUGGAGUGGGUUGCCGUGUCCUCUUCCAGGGGUUGCAUGUAGGAGGCACUUCUAAAACACUAACCAGUUUUCUUGGAAAAAAGUUCUGUUGUCGUUAUGCAAAGAGCUUCAUAACCUGAUUGCCUUUACUUGCCUGAAUUGCUGGUCUAAGUGCAGCAUCGCAUAGAGUUUGAAGUGAAGUGAAGUGAAAGUCGCUCAGUUGUGUCUGACUCUGUGACCCCAUGAGCUAUACAGGCCAUGGAAUUCUCCAGGCCAAAAUAGUGUAGUGGGUAGCCUUUCCCUUCUUCAGGGGAUCUUCCCAACCCAGGGACCGAACCCAGGUCUUCCUGUGGAUUCUUUACCAGCUAAGCCACAAAGGAAGCCCCGAAUAGAGUUUAUUUAUGCAGAUAUUCCUUGAUCUCUGGGACUGAGGAGCCUAGGGUUUGAAGAGGGGAGGCAAUGGGGAAGAUGGAGAAUAGG